UACGAAGGGUGCAAGCGUUAAUCGGAAUUACUGGGCGUAAAGGGUGCGUAGGCGGUUGUUUAAGUCUGUCGUGAAAUCCCCGGGCUCAACCUGGGAAUGGCGAUGGAUACUGGCGAGCUAGAGUGUGUCGGAGGAUGGUGGAAUUCCCGGUGUAGCGGUGAAAUGCGUAGAGAUCGGGAGGAACAUCAGUGGCGAAGGCGGCCAUCUGGGACAACACUGACGCUGAGGAGCGAAAGCGUGGGGAGCGAACAGG
rnacentral:rRNA from 1 species